rnacentral:rRNA from 1 species
UAGGGAAUUUUCCGCAAUGGGCGCAAGCCUGACGGAGCAAUGCCGCGUGAGGGAAGAAGGCCUUCGGGUCGUAAACCUCUUUCGUUUGGGAAGAAAGCGUAGAACAAGAAACGGUUUUGCGUUGACGGUACCGAAGGAAGAAGCCCCGGCUAAUUACGUGCCAGCAGCCGCGGUAAUACGUAAGGGGCAAGCGUUGUCCGGAAUCACUGGGCGUAAAGGGCGCGUAGGCGGUUCGUUAAGUCAGAAGUGAAAGCGCUGGGCCUAACCCAGCAAUGGCUUUUGAGACUGGCGAGCUAGAGGGUCCUAGGGGAUGCUGGAAUUCCAGGUGUAGCGGUGAAAUGCGUAGAUAUCUGGGAGAACACCCGUGGCGAAGGCGGGCAUCUGGGGGACACCUGACGCUGAGGCGCGAAAGCUAGGGGAGCGAACGG